AGAGUGUGCGUAAAAAGCUCGUAGUUGGAUUCUGCUGAAGCAACCGGUCCGCCCUCUGGGUGAGCAUCUGGCUUGUCUUGGGCAUCUUCAUGGGGAACGAAACUGCACUUGACUGUGUGGGUCGGUAGCCAUGAUUUUACUUUGAGGAAAUCAGAGUGUUUCAAGCAAGCAUGCGCCUUGAAUACAUUAGCAUGGAAUAUUUUUAUAGGGCCGUUGUUCUAUUUUGUUGGUU
rnacentral:rRNA from 1 species